ACUGAACGCUGGCGGCAUGCCUUACACAUGCAAGUCGAACGGUAGAGGGGCAACCCUCGAGAGUGGCGAACGGGUGAGUAAUGCAUCGGAACGUGCCCAGUCGUGGGGGAUAACGUAGCGAAAGCUACGCUAAUACCGCAUACGACCCGAGGGUGAAAGCGGGGGACUCGCAAGGGCCUCGCGCGAUUGGAGCGGCCGAUGUCAGAUUAGGUAGUUGGUGGGGUAAAGGCCUACCAAGCCGACGAUCUGUAGCUGGUCUGAGAGGACGACCAGCCACACUGGGACUGAGACACGGCCCAGACUCCUACGGGAGGCAGCAGUGGGGAAUUUUGGACAAUGGGCGCAAGCCUGAUCCAGCCAUGUCGCGUGCGGGAAGAAGGCCUUCGGGUUGUAAACCGCUUUUGUCAGGGAAGAAAUCUUCUGGGUUAAUACCUUGUGUGGAUGACGGUAUCAGCAUAAGAAGCACCGGCUAACUUCGUGCCAGCAGCCGCAGUAA
rnacentral:rRNA from 1 species